CGAGGAAAAGAAAUCAACCGAGAUUCCCCCAGUAGCGGCGAGCGAACGGGGAGGAGCCCAGAGCCUGAAUCAGUGUGUGUGUUAGUGGAAGCGUCUGGAAAGGCGCGCGAUACAGGGUGACAGCCCCGUACACAAAAAUGCACAUAUUGUGAGCUCGAUGAGUAGGGCGGGACACGUGGUAUCCUGUCUGAAUAUGGGGGGACCAUCCUCCAAGGCUAAAUACUCCUGACUGACCGAUAGUGAACCAGUACCGUGAGGGAAAGGCGAAAAGAACCCCGGCGAGGGGAGUGAAAAAGAACCUGAAACCGUGUACGUACAAGCAGUGGGAGCACGCUUAGGCGUGUGACUGCGUACCUUUUGUAUAAUGGGUCAGCGACUUAUAUUCUGUAGCAAGGUUAACCGAAUAGGGGAGCCGAAGGGAAACCGAGUCUUAACUGGGCGUUAAGUUGCAGGGUAUAGACCCGAAACCCGGUGAUCUAGCCAUGGGCAGGUUGAAGGUUGGGUAACACUAACUGGAGGACCGAACCGACUAAUGUUGAAAAAUUAGCGGAUGACUUGUGGCUGGGGGUGAAAGGCCAAUCAAACCGGGAGAUAGCUGGUUCUCCCCGAAAGCUAUUUAGGUAGCGCCUCGUGAAUUCAUCUCCGGGGGUAGAGCACUGUUUCGGCAAGGGGGUCAUCCCGACUUACCAACCCGAUGCAAACUGCGAAUACCGGAGAAUGUUAUCACGGGAGACACACGGCGGGUGCUAACGUCCGUCGUGAAGAGGGAAACAACCCAGACCGCCAGCUAAGGUCCCAAAGUCAUGGUUAAGUGGGAAACGAUGUGGGAAGGCCCAGACAGCCAGGAUGUUGGCUUAGAAGCAGCCAUCAUUUAAAGAAAGCGUAAUAGCUCACUGGUCGAGUCGGCCUGCGCGGAAGAUGUAACGGGGCUAAACCAUGCACCGAAGCUGCGGCAGCGACGCUUAUGCGUUGUUGGGUA
rnacentral:rRNA from 1 species